rnacentral:rRNA from 1 species
CGAAUGCUGACAUAAGUAACGAUAAAGCGGGUGAAAAGCCCGCUCGCCGGAAGACCAAGGGUUCCUGUCCAACGUUAAUCGGGGCAGGGUGAGUCGACCCCUAAGGCGAGGCCGAAAGGCGUAGUCGAUGGGAAACAGGUUAAUAUUCCUGUACUUGGUGUUACUGCGAAGGGGGGACGGAGAAGGCUAUGUUGGCCGGGCGACGGUUGUCCCGGUUUAAGCGUGUAGGCUGGUUUUCCAGGCAAAUCCGGAAAAUCAAGGCUGAGGCGUGAUGACGAGGCACUACGGUGCUGAAGCAACAAAUGCCCUGCUUCCAGGAAAAGCCUCUAAGCAUCAGGUAACAUCAAAUCGUACCCCAAACCGACACAGGUGGUCAGGUAGAGAAUACCAAGGCGCUUGAGAGAACUCGGGUGAAGGAACUAGGCAAAAUGGUGCCGUAACUUCGGGAGAAGGCACGCUGAUAUGUAGGUGAGGUCCCUCGCGGAUGGAGCUGAAAUCAGUCGAAGAUACCAGCUGGCUGCAACUGUUUAUUAAAAACACAGCACUGUGCAAACACGAAAGUGGACGUAUACGGUGUGACGCCUGCCCGGUGCCGGAAGGUUAAUUGAUGGGGUUAGCGCAAGCGAAGCUCUUGAUCGAAGCCCCGGUAAACGGCGGCCGUAACUAUAACGGUCCUAAGGUAGCGAAAUUCCUUGUCGGGUAAGUUCCGACCUGCACGAAUGGCGUAAUGAUGGCCAGGCUGUCUCCACCCGAGACUCAGUGAAAUUGAACUCGCUGUGAAGAUGCAGUGUACCCGCGGCAAGACGGAAAGACCCCGUGAACCUUUACUAUAGCUUGACACUGAACAUUGAGCCUUGAUGUGUAGGAUAGGUGGGAGGCUUAGAAGUGUGGACGCCAGUCUGCAUGGAGCCGACCUUGAAAUACCACCCUUUAAUGUUUGAUGUUCUAACGUUGACCCGUAAUCCGGGUUGCGGACAGUGUCUGGUGGGUAGUUUGACUGGGGCGGUCUCCUCCUAAAGAGUAACGGAGGAGCACGAAGGUUGGCUAAUCCUGGUCGGACAUCAGGAGGUUAGUGCAAUGGCAUAAGCCAGCUUGACUGCGAGCGUGACGGCGCGAGCAGGUGCGAAAGCAGGUCAUAGUGAUCCGGUGGUUCUGAAUGGAAGGGCCAUCGCUCAACGGAUAAAAGGUACUCCGGGGAUAACAGGCUGAUACCGCCCAAGAGUUCAUAUCGACGGCGGUGUUUGGCACCUCGAUGUCGGCUCAUCACAUCCUGGGGCUGAAGUAGGUCCCAAGGGUAUGGCUGUUCGCCAUUUAAAGUGGUACGCGAGCUGGGUUUAGAACGUCGUGAGACAGUUCGGUCCCUAUCUGCCGUGGGCGCUGGAGAACUGAGGGGGGCUGCUCCUAGUACGAGAGGACCGGAGUGGACGCAUCACUGGUGUUCGGGUUGUCAUGCCAAUGGCACUGCCCGGUAGCUAAAUGCGGAAGAGAUAAGUGCUGAAAGCAUCUAAGCACGAAACUUGCCCCGAGAUGAGUUCUCCCUGACUCCUUGAGAG